AAAAAAAAGGGGAAAAAACAUGUUACAUGGGAAGUAAUAAAGGGUCCUCGCCAACCAGAUUCGAAACAGUGUGGUUUUUAUGUGAUGAGAUAUAUGAGAGAUAUUAUUGAAGAAGUGGAAACUAUCGAGAGAGAUUCACUUCGAUCAAUAUUCAUCAAAA